GAUGAACGCUGGCGGCGUGCCUAAUACAUGCAAGUCGAGCGAACAGACGAGGAGCUUGCUCCUCUGACGUUAGCGGCGGACGGGUGAGUAACACGUGGAUAACCUACCUAUAAGACUGGGAUAACUUCGGGAAACCGGAGCUAAUACCGGAUAAUAUAUUGAACCGCAUGGUUCAAUAGUGAAAGACGGUUUUGCUGUCACUUAUAGAUGGAUCCGCGCCGCAUUAGCUAGUUGGUAAGGUAACGGCUUACCAAGGCAACGAUGCGUAGCCGACCUGAGAGGGUGAUCGGCCACACUGGAACUGAGACACGGUCCAGACUCCUACGGGCGGCAGCAGUAGGGAAUCUUCCGCAAUGGGCGAAAGCCUGACGGAGCAACGCCGCGUGAGUGAUGAAGGUCUUCGGAUCGUAAAACUCUGUUAUUAGGGAAGAACAAAUGUGUAAGUAACUAUGCACGUCUUGACGGUACCUAAUCAGAAAGCCACGGCUAACUACGUG
rnacentral:rRNA from 1 species